AACAAACGCUGGCGGCGUGCCUAACACAUGCAAGUCGUACGAGAAAGGGUCCUUCGGGGCCUGAGUAAAGUGGCGCACGGGUGAGUAACGCGUGGAUAGUCUGCCCUUCAGUUGGGAAUAACUCAUCGAAAGGUGGGCUAAUACCGAAUAAUGCUGUGAGACCUCGGUUGAUCAGCCAAAGAGAGCCUCUGCUUGCAAGCCCUCGCUGAAGGAUGAGUCCGCGUACCAUUAGCUAGUUGGUAGGGUAAUGGCCUACCAAGGCGACGAUGGUUAGCUGGUCUGAGCGGAUGAUCAGCCACACUGGAACUGAGACACGGUCCAGACUCCUACGGGAGGCAGCAGUGAGGAAUCUUGCGCAAUGGGGGCAACCCUGACGCAGCAACGCCGCGUGAGUGAGGAAGGUCUUCGGAUCGUAAAGCUCUGUCGGAUGGAAAGAACCGCAUAGGGGUAAACAGCCCCUGUGUCUGACGGUACCAUCAAAGGAAGCACCGGCUAACUCCGUGCCAGCCGCCGCCGUAAGAC
rnacentral:rRNA from 1 species